rnacentral:rRNA from 1 species
GGAAAAGUAAACAUUAUUAGUUUAAUAGUUAUUGUUAAUUUUAUUAUUAGAGUUUAAAUUUUUAGGUGAAAUUUUAAUUUUUUUGUAUUUAUAUCGUAAGAAGCUAUGAAAUUUAUUUUAAAAACAAGGAUUAGAUACCCUUUUAUUUUAAAUGUAAAAUUUUAACUAGGGUAGUAAUAGUUAUGUUCUUGAAACCCAAAGAAUUUGGCGGUAUUUUAGUCCUUUCAGAGGAAUCUGUCCCGUAAUCGACAUUCCACGAGAUGAUGUACUUAUUCUUGUAAUCAGUUUGUAUACCUCCGUCAUAAGAAGAUCUUUUUAGAGAUGUAAUUUUCUUAAUAUAUUAAGUAUAAAAUGUCAGGUCAAGGUGCAAUUUAUGAAUAAGUGGAGAUGGAUUACAAUAAAUUUAUUUAAAUGGAUUAAAUUAUUUAAUUUUUUAUGAAGGUGGAUUUGAUAGUAAUUUUAAUUGUUUAUUAUUAUGAUUUUGGCUCUAAAAUAUGCACACAUCGCCCGUCGCUCUCAUUUCUAAAAUGAGAUAAGUCGUAACAUAGUAGGUGUAUCGGAAGAUGUACCUAGUAAGU